UACGGAGGGGACUAGCGUUGUUCGGAAUUACUGGGCGUAAAGCGCACGUAGGCGGAUUUGUAAGUCAGGGGGUGAAAUCCCGGGGCUCAACCUCGGAACUGCCUUUGAUACUGCAAAUCUCGAGUCCGGAAGAGGUGAGUGGAAUUCCUAGUGUAGAGGUGAAAUUCGUAGAUAUUAGGAAGAAUACCAGUGGCGAAGGCGGCUCACUGGUCCGGUACUGACGCUGAGGUGCGAAAAGCGUGGGGGAGCAAACAGG
rnacentral:rRNA from 1 species